rnacentral:lncRNA from 1 species
AUGAUGCAGAGACCUCUGUUGCAAGCAUCCUCUCUCGUGUUUCAGGCAGUAUUGUGUUUUGGUCACGUUGACCGUUCAUGCUGAUACGCUCCCAAGGCUUUUCAACAAUCUUGACUAUUGCGGUGGUAACCUACAAAAAAACAGAUGAAUUUUCACAAGAACCAUAGUAAUUAAGUGUAGCUAAUCUGUAAUUAAUCAACCAAGUAUAAUAAAUUUGAUUUUGUGUCAGUAAAAAAGAACAUAAAACUCCUUUAAGUCUUGUUCCUUUUCUUUUAUCAACAGAUACCAUUUCCUGAGGUAUCCAAAUCAAAUUACUUCUACAGAAAUUACAUCCAGCAAACACGAUUAUCCAUCCGUGAUUAUUCAAUGAAAAAAUGUUUUGACCAUUUAGAUCUAAAAUACCCCUCAAUACAUCUUGUAGACCAAAAGCAAUACUAAUUAUGCCAUCAAUGGAAUUGUAAUAAUUACAAACAAUUUAUUAUCCGAACUUGAGGGACCUUAGUACCAAAUAAAUUUACCUGUGGAUAGAAUGAAGUAAAAUGCUUAGCAAGUAUAAUUGCAAAUUCCUCGACAGAAACUUGUUCUUUACACUCCUUUGCCUUCACAUAUACCUGCAAUAUCAUCAACCAGUAAGUGAUCAUACUUUAUUCUUAUUUUGUGAACAGAUCAAAGACGCCUUCUUGUCCUGACUUUACCCAUUUCCAAUCCAAUUUAGCUUAAACUAGUAUUAAGCACCCCCCGCGUUGCGGCGGGGGCGAACACCAGUGCCACACUACUGUCAGCGACCACCAACACUGAAGUUGUGGCGUGUUAAUGCGAAGAAACUAAACCGAAACGUAAAACAUAUAAAAGAAUAACUAAGUCGAUCUAGGACCCGCGCGUUACGAUGAACCUAUCAAACGGGAAAAAAUAGACGACGUAAAAACGUUUAACCACACACGCACGUUGCGCUGUGUUAACUCGCAAAAUUUAUAACGAAACGUAAAACAAAAAUUUUGCGAAAAAAUGAAAAGUAUAGAGGACCAAAGUUGAUGGUAAAAAUGUUGUGAGGUUAAAUUGCAAAAGAAGAAAAGUUCUUGGGUUAAAAUUAAAAAAAUCAAAUACUUUUGGGUUAAAAGUAAAAAAGUCAAUUUUUUUUUGGAAAACCCCCAAAGCAUAAGUUACAACGCCUUUAUGCCUAAACAUGUCGAAAAUUAUAGUAUUGGGUAAUGGGUAAUUUGGGGAUUUUUGCCCUAAUUUGACAUUCGUAAAUGUAAGCAAGUUAUUCGACAUCUCUAAGCCCUAGUGUUGUAAAAAUCUAGACUAAUCACCGAUGAAUCUGAAUUUCACCUUGUCGGACCUACUAAUCGAUAGGCGGUCAAACUCGGACCACUUCCGUCCAUGGUUUUUUGAAGUAUUUGAAUUGAACUAAUAUGCUAACGUUUGAGCUUUUACGUACUUGAUUUGUUAUGUUAAAGUACCUUUGUGAACUUUGAAGUAUUAUAUCCAGAUCUAUGUGUGUGUAUAUACAUAAUUUGAAAACUACAUAUAAAAAUUCCAAAAAAAAAUCCAAUCCUAUUAAUCAAUAUCAAUCCCAAUUAUUCGCUAAUCGGUACUUCACUAGCCGAUAAGCGCCUAGCUAUUGUCACAAGCCCUAAAUCACUUCUUAUUGUUUUGCAUGUGAUGUGAUCGGAAACUAGAUCUAGCAUAAUCACCUACAUAGAGUUCAAUUCUAAAACAAGCAGAUCGUAAACAACAACAUCGAAUACAUACAUACAUACAUACAAAUCAAAUCAAUCACAUAAACAAAACAGUAAGCAGUAAAACAGAUCACGUACAGUGUUUUUCAUCGUAUCCGUUGCGACGAUAUCGGAAUUAUCAGCACUCACAUACGCAUUAACACAAUCAGAAAGUAAACUGAUACUAACGUUCCAUUCAACGAAGUUAUGGCGGUUAUCACCGGAUCUCCAAACCCUACCGACUCUAACACGCUCCUUUCCAUGCCUCUGCUCGAAGAUGUUUCCGCCGAUUUGGAUUUGAUCUUUGGUGGUCGCCAUGUGCGUUGUGUUAAUCGAGUUGGAAAAUUGUUCUCCAGGUCCCACAGUCACACUCAAGUGUAUGUUGUACAGUUUUGGAU